GACGAACGCUGGCGGCGUGCUUAACACAUGCAAGUCGUACGGUAAGGCCCUUUCGGGGGUACACGAGUGGCGAACGGGUGAGUAACACGUGAGUAACCUGCCCACAACUUUGGGAUAACGCUAGGAAACUGGUGCUAAUACUGGAUAUGUGCUCCUGCUGCAUGGUGGGGGUUGGAAAGCUCCGGCGGUUGUGGAUGGACUCGCGGCCUAUCAGCUUGUUGGUGGGGUAGUGGCCUACCAAGGCGGCGACGGGUAGCCGGCCUGAGAGGGUGACCGGCCACCAUGGGGCUGAGGUAAGGCCCAGGCUCCUACGGGGGGCAACCGGGGGGAAUAUUGCACAAUGGGCGCAAGCCUGAUGCAGCAACGCCGCGUGCGGGAUGACGGCCUUCGGGUUGUAAACCGCUUUCAGCAGGGACGAAGCUUUUUGUGACGGUACCUGCAGAAGAAGCACCGGCUAACUACGUG
rnacentral:rRNA from 1 species